rnacentral:rRNA from 1 species
GACGAACGCUGGCGGCGUGCUUAACACAUGCAAGUCGAACGGAAAGGCCCUUCGGGGUACUCGAGUGGCGAACGGGUGAGUAACACGUGGGUGAUCUGCCCUGCACUUUGGGAUAAGCCUGGGAAACUGGGUCUAAUACCGAAUAGGACCGCGCGCUUCAUGGUGUGUGGUGGAAAGCUUUUGCGGUGUGGGAUGGGCCCGCGGCCUAUCAGCUUGUUGGUGGGGUACUGGCCUACCAAGGCGACGACGGGUAGCCGGCCUGAGAGGGUGACCGGCCACACUGGGACUGAGAUACGGCCCAGAAUCCUACGGGAGGCAGCAGUGGGGAAUAUUGCACAAUGGGCGCAAGCCUGAUGCAGCGACGCCGCGUGAGGGAUGACGGCCUUCGGGUUGUAAACCUCUUUCACCAGGGACGAAGCGCAAGUGACGGUACCUGGAGAAGAAGCACCGGCCAACUACGUG